UUGCACCUACGGGGGGCAGCAGUGGGGGAUAUUGCACAAUGGGGGAAACCCUGAUGCAGCGACGCCGCGUGGGUGAAGAAGCGCCUCGGCGCGUAAAGCCCUGUCAGCAGGGAAGAAAAUGACGGUACCUGCAAAGGAAGCACCGGCUAACUCCGUGCCAGCAGCCGCGGUAAUACGGAGGGUGCGAGCGUUAAUCGGAAUUACUGGGCGUAAAGCGCUCGUAGGCGGUAUGUCAAGUCAAGGGUGAAAUCCCCGCGCUCAACGUGGGAACUGCCUUUGAAACUGGCAAACUGGAGUGUGUGAGG
rnacentral:rRNA from 1 species